rnacentral:rRNA from 1 species
GAUGAACGCUGGCGGCGUGCCUAAUACAUGCAAGUCGAGCGAACAGACGAGGAGCUUGCUCCUCUGACGUUAGCGGCGGACGGGUGAGUAACACGUGGAUAACCUACCUAUAAGACUGGGAUAACUUCGGGAAACCGGAGCUAAUACCGGAUAAUAUAUUGAACCGCAUGGUUCAAUAGUGAAAGACGGUUUUGCUGUCACUUAUAGAUGGAUCCGCGCCGCAUUAGCUAGUUGGUAAGGUAACGGCUUACCAAGGCAACGAUGCGUAGCCGACCUGAGAGGGUGAUCGGCCACACUGGAACUGAGACACGGUCCAGACUCCUACGGGAGGCAGCAGUAGGGAAUCUUCCGCAAUGGGCGAAAGCUUGACGGAGCAACGCCGCGUGAGUGAUGAAGGUCUUCGGAUCGUAAAACUCUGUUAUUAGGGAAGAACAAAUGUGUAAGUAACUAUGCCCGUCUUGACGGUACCUAAUCAGAAAGCCACGGCUAACUACGUG